rnacentral:misc_RNA from 1 species
GCAAACUUGGUCAUUUAGAGGAAGUAAAAGUCGUAACAAGGUUUCCGUAGGUGAACCUGCGGAAGGAUCAUUAUCGAGUCUCAAUCCGGCGUCUUUCUUGCUGCUGCAUUCACUUGCACGCUCGAGGGGUGUUGGCUCUUUUGACUUUACACACCUGUGCACCUCGGAUCGCCGCGAUUUAUUUCGUGGCGGACCGCUUUUUUUACACCUUUCUUGUAUGUCAUUUUGAAGUGAAUUCGGCUGCUCUGUGAUGGAGCAGUCGGUGGAAAAAAAAUUAAUACAACUUUCAGCAACGGAUCUCUUGGCUCUCCCAUCGAUGAAGAACGCAGC